GACAGAGGGUGCGAACGUUGUUCGGAAUUACUGGGCGUAAAGUGAGUGUAGGCGGUUGCCCAAGUCAGGUGUGAAAGCCUUGAGCUCAACUCAAGAAAUGCACUUGGUACUGGGUGGCUAGAGGACCGGAGAGGAUAGUGGAAUUCCCAGUGUAGUGGUGAAAUACGUAGAGAUUGGGAAGAACACCAGUGGCGAAGGCGGCUAUCUGGACGGUUACUGACGCUAAGACUCGAAAGCGUGGGGAGCAAACAGG
rnacentral:rRNA from 1 species